rnacentral:rRNA from 1 species
AGUGAACGCUGGCGGUAGGCCUAACACAUGCAAGUCGAACGGCAGCACAGUAAUAGCUUGCUCUUACGGGUGGCGAGUGGCGGACGGGUGAGGAAUACAUCGGAAUCUACUUUUUCGUGGGGGAUAACGUAGGGAAACUUACGCUAAUACCGCAUACGACCUACGGGUGAAAGCAGGGGAUCUUCGGACCUUGCGCGAUUGAAUGAGCCGAUGUCGGAUUAGCUAGUUGGCGGGGUAAAGGCCCACCAAGGCGACGAUCCGUAGCUGGUCUGAGAGGAUGAUCAGCCACCCGGGAACUGAGAAACGGUCCGGACUCCUAGGGGAGGCAGAGGUGGGGAAUAUUGGAAAAUGGGCGCAAGCCUGAUCAAGCCAUACCGCGUGGGUGAAGAAGGCCUUCGGGUUGUAAAGCCCUUUUGUUGGGAAAGAAAAGAAGCAGGUUAAUACCCCGCUGUUCUGAGGGAACCAAAAGAGAAAGCACCGGCUAAUUUCGU